UAUCCAUAGCAGUGACCAGAGGAAGAAUGGCUUGCUGGGAGGAGCACAGAGAGAAGAAAUGCCAGGGUGCAUCUGCAGCAGCACAACUAGAUGGCUUCAUCUGCCCCAGAUGCAACAAAACAUGUCUCUCCCACAUUGGUCCCUACAGCAACAGCAGGAGCUGCAACCAUCCAAAGGUAGGGAGAGGUUAGUGACAGAUGAAAGAGGCCCUGACAAUCAAAAAACAGGAGAGAAAUACAGAUGGCUCAACUCCUUUCAGGAUAACCAACCAUUUGCAUUAGAAAUACAGCAAAAUGUGGUUCCCAUCAAAGGAAUGGACACAGGAUACCAGCCAAAACUAUUAUUUCCACUUCCACAGGAAUAGUUGCCAAAAUUCGUCCCCUGGAGGUGCCACGAAUUGAACCUGGCGUUUUGCUCC